rnacentral:rRNA from 1 species
UACGGAGGGUGCAAGCGUUAUCCGGAUUCACUGGGUUUAAAGGGUGCGUAGGCGGGCAGGUAAGUCAGUGGUGAAAUCUCCGGGCUUAACCCGGAAACUGCCGUUGAUACUACCUGUCUUGAAUAUCGUGGAGGUAAGCGGAAUAUGUCAUGUAGCGGUGAAAUGCUUAGAUAUGACAUAGAACACUCAUUGCGAAGGCAGCUUACUACACGAUCAUUGACGCUGAGGCACGAAAGCGUGGGGAGCAAACAGG